rnacentral:rRNA from 1 species
AAGAGACAGCAGUCGCCACGGUAAUGCGGAGGGGGCUAGCGUUGUUCGGAAUUACUGGGCGUAAAGCGCACGUAGGCGGUUUUGUAAGUCAGAGGUGAAAGCCCGGAGCUCAACUCCGGAACUGCCUUUGAGACGGCAUCACUUGAACGUCGGAGAGGUGAGUGGAAUUCCGAGUGUAGAGGUGAAAUUCGUAGAUAUUCGGAAGAACACCAGUGGCGAAGGCGGCUCACUGGACGACUGUUGACGCUGAGGUGCGAAAGCGUGGGGAGCAAACAGGAUUAGAUACCCGAGUAGUCCCUGUCUCUUAUAC